rnacentral:rRNA from 1 species
CGCGCAUUCGCCCUUAGAGUUUGAUCCUGGCUCAGGAUGAACGCUAGCUACAGGCUUAACACAUGCAAGUCGAGGGGCAGCGGGAUUGAAGCUUGCUUCAAUUGCCGGCGACCGGCGCACGGGUGAGUAACGCGUAUCCAACCUUCCGUUUACUCAGGGAUAGCCUUUCGAAAGAAAGAUUAAUACCUGAUAGUAUGGUGGGAUUGCAUGAUAGCACCAUUAAAGAUUUAUUGGUAAACGAUGGGGAUGCGUUCCAUUAGGUAGUAGGCGGGGUAACGGCCCACCUAGCCGACGAUGGAUAGGGGUUCUGAGAGGAAGGUCCCCCACAUUGGAACUGAGACACGGUCCAAACUCCUACGGGAGGCAGCAGUGAGGAAUAUUGGUCAAUGGACGAGAGUCUGAACCAGCCAAGUAGCGUGAAGGAUGAAGGUCCUACGGAUUGUAAACUUCUUUUAUAAGGGAAUAAACCCUCCCACGUGUGGGAGCUUGUAUGUACCUUAUGAAUAAGCAUCGGCUAACUCCGUGCCAGCAGCCGCGGUAAUACGGAGGAUGCGAGCGUUAUCCGGAUUUAUUGGGUUUAAAGGGAGCGCAGACGGGUCGUUAAGUCAGCUGUGAAAGUUUGGGGCUCAACCUUAAAAUUGCAGUUGAUACUGGCGUCCUUGAGUGCGGUUGAGGUGUGCGGAAUUCGUGGUGUAGCGGUGAAAUGCUUAGAUAUCACGAAGAACUCCGAUUGCGAAGGCAGCACACUAAUCCGUAACUGACGUUCAUGCUCGAAAGUGUGGGUAUCAAACAGGAUUAGAUACCCUGGUAGUCCACACGGUAAACGAUGGAUACUCGCUGUUGGCGAUAUACUGUCAGCGGCUUAGCGAAAGCGUUAAGUAUCCCACCUGGGGAGUACGCCGGCAACGGUGAAACUCAAAGGAAUUGACGG